ensembl:lncRNA
AUAAUAGAAGUUUUGGAUCCUUAUAAAAAUGAAAAAAAAAAAAUUAAUCUUUGGACUCCUUCUUUCGAAGUGUUGGAAAAUAAAAGGGAACAGCAACAUUUUUACCAGCCAUUAGGAUAUAAUGAAAAACAAAAAAAAAAAAAAAAACAAAAAAAAAAAAAAAAAAAAAAAAAAAAAAAAUUACAAACAAAAUGGCAGACAAAAUAAGCAGAGUGGUUAUGAUGCUAAAUGUAAUAACACGAGUGAGCAAAUUUUGGAAAAUAAUAAAAAUGGAGGAAUUGGUAAUAGUGGAGGAAUUGACAAAAAUGAAGGAAGUUAUAAAAGUGAAAGUAGCAAUAGUGGCAAUAGUAGCAAUAGUGGCAAUAGUAGCAAUAGUGGCAAUAGUAGCAAUAGUGGCAAUAGUAGCAAUAGUGGAAAUAGUAGCAAUAGUAGCAAUAGUGGCAAUAGUAGCAAUAGUGGCAAUAGUGGUAAUAGUGGCAAUAGUGAAGACGGUAGCGAUGGUGGAGAAAUCAGCGACAUAAGUGAAAGCACUAAUCAAAGUCAAUGUAGUAAUAAAAACAAAUUAAAUUUUUCCAAAAACAUUUUAAAAAACUCAUUGAAUUUGUUAUCAUAUAAAGAGAAAAUUAAAAUUAUCCAUAAUGACGAAACAUUAGAUAUAACCUUAUACAGUAGUGGCUAUUCUUUAGGUAGUUGUAAUUUUUUUAUUACUAACCAUUUUGUAAAAUUAUUUAUUAUUAAUAAAAGUACUUAUAAUUUAAAAAGAUAUCCAUCUUCUUUUGAUUAUACAUAUUUACAUCAAGCCGAUUUUGUUUUAUUUACUUCUUACUAUGAUAGUAUAGAAGAAACAUACCCAUUUAUAUGUGAAAGUGAUAAUAAUUAUACAAAGGAUAAUAAUGGAAAAACAGAUUUUCACAAAACAGUAGAACCAACUGAUAUUGUAAAAUCAACUGAUUGUUGUGACCGACAAGUAUCGAAAAAUAAAAAACUAUAUGAAGUAGAAAAAUUAAUUAAAAAUAAAUUAAAUAUAUUUUUAGAAAAAUCAUAUAAAGAUAGUUUAAAUAAAAUUUGUUCUAUUAUUUUAAAAACAAUUAAAAAAAAAGGAUGUGUUUUAAUACCUGUAGAUUUACACUAUUUAUAUUUUAUUGAAUUAAUCGAAUUAGUAGGAGUAAUAAUAAGUAAAUAUUUAACAAAAGAUGAACAAGUUUUUAUUAUUAGUAUUUUAAAAAAUGUAAAAAAUAUAAUAAAACAAACUGAAUUAUGUACUGAAUGGGUAGAUGAUUUUCGAAAAAAUAAAUCGUUAAAAACAGAAAACCCACAAGGACCAUUUUCAAUAGAAAUUAUGAUACAAAAUAAUAGAUUAAUUAUAGGAAACUCAAUUAACGAUAUAGAUAAACAGUUUAGACGUCGUUCUUGUGUUUGUUUUAUACAAGAUUCGAGUUUACGAUUUUUCGAAGCAUAUAACUUGAUAAAAAAAUGGAAAAAUAAUGAAAAUAAUACACUUUUAUUAAUCGAUCCUUAUUAUAAUCCUGUAUCUGUUUUAUAUCCAUUUAAUUUGUAUGAUAAAAAAAUAAAUAUAUAUUAUUGUCCUCUAUCUUUUGAUCUAAACCAAUCUAAUAUUGUAAAUAUUAUAAACAAAAAUGAAAAUAAACAGUGUGUUUAUUUAUUGUCUCAUAACUUAAAAAAGGUGUUUACAAACAAUAAUCAAAUGAAUCUUACAGAAAAUAAAAACAAAACCGAUAAAGUAACUAAUAAAAAACAUAUCAACAAUUCCGACACGUGUAAUGAAUUAUUAAAAACAAACGAAGAUUGUACUAACCUAAAUGAUUACUAUAACUAUGAUGGAACAUGUAAUAUAUCUAACAUAAUAAACUUAUCUCAAAAUUCUAAUCUUAAUAAAAACAAGUCAUUAAAUAUACAAAAUAAUAUUAUAUAUAUUUAUCCAUUUAAAACGGAACAUAUAUGUUUUAACGAUUUUUUAUUAUUUAAUAAAAAAAUGCAUCCAGUUUGUUUUACUGCAGAUGGAACUGAAAAUUUAGAACAAAUUUUAACAAAAAUAGAUGAUUUUUAUACUGCAAAAGUUAGAUCAAUUUAUACCAGUUCUUUUUCUGGUGAUUUUAUCAAUGUCCAAAGCAUAGAAAAACUAUCAAAUUGUCAAUAUAAAAAUGUAACAGACGAAGUGAACACACAAAACUUAUCAAAUUCAAAUCUUUGGUUUGGUACCAUAAACGAAAAACAGUUUAUAACAUAUUUAGAAACAUAUGGUUAUAAUGAAAACGACAUUGAACUUAUAUAUCCUGACAAAAACGAACAAUCAAAUGAAAAUGCAAACAAUUUUUUAUGGUGCAUUUCAAUAAAUUCAAUAAAUUCAAAAAUAACAUGUUACACGAAAUAUAACAUUGAGGUAUUUGGUGAUAAUAUACAAUUACGCCAUAAUGUUAAAAAUAUAAUUAAACAAAUGACACAUUCUCUAUGAUAAUUAUUUCAAAAGCAAAGUAACACUGCUCAAAUAAAGUGUAAUACGUGAACA